rnacentral:siRNA from 1 species
UAAGAUUGUCUACUUUGGAUGCUA